rnacentral:rRNA from 1 species
CCUACGGGAGGCUGCAGUGGGGAAUAUUGCACAAUGGGGGAAACCCUGAUGCAGCGACGCCGCGUGAAGGAAGAAGUAUUUCGGUAUGUAAACUUCUAUCAGCAGGGAAGAAAAUGACGGUACCUGACUAAGCAGCCCCGGCUAACUCCGUGCCAGCCGCCGCGGUAAUACGUAGGGGGAAAGCGUUAUCCGGAUUUACUGGGUGUAAAGGGAGCGUAGGCGGUUUAGCAAGUCAGAAGUGAAAGCCCGGGGCUCAACUCCGGGACUGCUUUUGAAACUGUUGAACUAGAGUGCAGGAGAGGUAAGUGGAAUUCCUAGUGUAGCGGUGAAAUGCGUAGAUAUUAGGAGGAACACCAGUGGCGAAGGCGGCUUACUGGACUGUAAAUGACGCUGAGGUUCGAAAGCGUGGGGAGCAAACAGGAUUAGAUACCCUGGUAGUC